CUUCCCCUCGCUGAAACGGCCGAGCUUUAACAUCAUAUACAAUCCAUUCAAUUCCAUCUCCCGCUACGUUGUGAAUCAAUGCGUCGUUCAUGGCUCAUAAAUAUUCCAGCCGUUGCUCCUCCGUCGUCGAGGCAAGACUGCUCCGGUCUUCGGUUCUGGGAGGCGAGAAAUAUCGCGAGCUCAUGUGGGUUGACAUGCUCUUCCUGGACGUCAACGCAAUUGAAGAACAAAGAUGAGGAUAGAGUAGUUAAGAACAAUGAAGGUCUGCCUCAGCCAUUUUUGCGAAGCUGCAAUGAUCGUGCAAGGCAGCUCCAGGCUUCUUCUUCAGGUCUUUUCCCAUGUUUAAAGGUUUUAUCUCUCUCACACUUCACUUUUUAUCAUUCAGAUUAUUUAUUUUUCACAAACAAUUCAGACUGUCGGCUGUGUUAUGUUGUCUUCGUUUAAUAUUUCUUUUUCAUCGAUCUAUUUCGUCAUCUACGGUUCUUUGCGAGACGAAUCCAUCACCAUUAAAAACUAUUGGGUUUGAAGUUUUUUAAGUAAUGUAAUCUUGGAAAAAGUUGAAUAAGGCAGCAGAGAAAUAAUAGCAUUAGCUUAUAGGUUGCUAAGUCAGCUACUUUCAGAACUAAAUUGCCUCACAGUUUUCUUUUUUGACUCGGUCAAGUUACUUGGUUUGAGGCUACAAUCAGUUCGCAAGUGAUUGACAUAAAUAUUCUGCCGUUCAGGCGUUCAAUCCCCUGGAGGUAGCAAAGAGUCAGACUCUGUGAAGGUUGCUAGAGGAGGUUAGCCAUUCAAAGUUUUCUGUCGUUACUUUC